AGUGAACGCUGGCGGUAGGCCUAACACAUGCAAGUCGAACGGCAGCACAGUAAGAGCUUGCUCUUACGGGUGGCGAGUGGCGGACGGGUGAGGAAUACAUCGGAAUCUACUUUUUCGGGGGGGAUAACGUAGGGAAACUUACGCUAAUACCGCAUACGACCUACGGGUGAAAGCAGGGGAUCUUCGGACCUUGUGCGAUUGAAUGAGCCGAUGUCGGAUUAGCUAGUUGGCGGGGUAAAGGCCCACCAAGGCGACGAUCCGUAGCUGGUCUGAGAGGAUGAUCAGCCACCCUGGAACUGAGACACGGUCCAGACUCCUACGGGAGGCAGCAGUGGGGAAUAUUGGGCAAUGGGGGCAAGCCUGAUCCAGCCAUACCGCGUGGGUGAAGAAGGCCUUCGGGUUGUAAAGCCCUUUUGUUGGGAAAGAAAAGCAGCAGGUUAAUACCCCGCUGUUCUGACGGUACCCAAAGAAUAAGCACCGGCUAACUUCGUG
rnacentral:rRNA from 1 species